rnacentral:rRNA from 1 species
GAUGAACGCUGGCGGCGUGCCUAAUACAUGCAAGUCGAGCGAACAGAUGAGGAGCUUGCUCCUUUGACGUUAGCGGCGGACGGGUGAGUAACACGUGGGUAACCUACCUAUAAGACUGGGAUAACUUCGGGAAACCGGAGCUAAUACCGGAUAAUAUUUCGAACCGCAUGGUUCGAUAGUGAAAGAUGGCUUUGCUAUCACUUAUAGAUGGACCUGCGCCGUAUUAGCUAGUUGGUAAGGUAACGGCUUACCAAGGCAACGAUACGUAGCCGACCUGAGAGGGUGAUCGGCCACACUGGAACUGAGACACGGUCCAGACUCCUACGGGAGGCAGCAGUAGGGAAUCUUCCGCAAUGGGCGAAAGCCUGACGGAGCAACGCCGCGUGAGUGAUGAAGGUCUUCGGAUCGUAAAACUCUGUUAUUAGGGAAGAACAAACGUGUAAGUAACUGUGCACGUCUUGACGGUACCUAAUCAGAAAGCCACGGCUAACUACG